rnacentral:rRNA from 1 species
UACGAAGGGGGCUAGCGUUGUUCGGAAUUACUGGGCGUAAAGCGCACGUAGGCGGAUACUUAAGUCAGGGGUGAAAUCCCGGGGCUCAACCCCGGAACUGCCUUUGAUACUGGGUAUCUCGAGUCCGGAAGAGGUGAGUGGAAUUCCGAGUGUAGAGGUGGAAUUCGUAGAUAUUCGGAGGAACACCAGUGGCGAAGGCGGCUCACUGGUCCGGUACUGACGCUGAGACGCGAAAGCGUGGGGAGCGAACAGG